UUCUUUCCAAAACUUCAAGAAUCAGAAACGUUUUCCUCUUAAAAUUUCAAACCAGAAAACGUUGGAACAAGUUUUAGUUUAAGUCUAUUCUUUAGUUCAAAAACGUUAGAGGCAGAACAAAUUCGUCCAAGAUUUCAAAGAAUCCAAGUGUUAUUUCGUUCAUAUUUCGCAGAAGAAAAUUCGUUCAAAUAAUUCAAGAAACAGGUAUGUUAAGGCCCUCCCUUCUUAUUUUUGGUAUGGUCCAAAUUAUAUUGAAGAAACGAGCAAAUACACAGUUUCCAUAAAUUACUCUAUUCAUAAAAUUAUUAGGGGUGUCUAAAUUCUUGAUUCCCCAUAAAAAUUAUUAUUAUUUUCUGUUCAUGGGUUUCAGAAUAAUACGCAGUUGAAAAAGUUUAUCCGGGAGGAAUAUUGAGAUUAUUACGUAUUUUUCAUGCAUUUCACUCAUGUGCAUUGAACCAUGACCAGAUGUCGUUAUAUACGUAUAUAUAUGUAAAUAUAUGUAUAUGAGAUAUGGGAAAAGGUUACGGCGUUAUAUACGCAUCACCACCUGAUCAGCUGGUAUAUGUUGAUGAUGUUGCCUACAAUGGUCGAGAUGAUAUGAUGGGAUGCCCUCAGUGGCUUGAUGAUAUUAUGUAAACCCAUACUUAUGCAUGUCAUGACAUUUAUACGCACAUGCAUGACAUUAUAAAUAUUUCAGAACUUACAAAGUUAUUCAGAUUUAAAGAUGUGUUUCUGUAUUCCAUGUUUUAUCUAUGUCUUUUACGUACUAAUUUUCAUGCCUUACAUACUCAAUACAUUUUUCGUACUGACGCCCUAUUUCACGGGGCCUGCGUUUCAUGCCCGCAGGUGCAGGUAGGCAAGCUGACGGUACCCCUUCUU
rnacentral:lncRNA from 1 species